AAGUCGUAACAAGGUUUCCGUAGGUGAACCUGCGGAAGGAUCAUUAUUGAAAUAAACCUGAUGGGUUGUUGCUGGUUCUCUAGGGAGCAUGUGCACGCCUUGUCAUUUUUAUAUCUCCACCUGUGCACCUUUUGUAGACCUUUUCAGGUCUAUGUCGUUUCAUUUACCCCAAUGUAUGUCGAUAGAAUGUUGUGCCUAUAAAACAUAUACAACUUUCAGCAACGGAUCUCUUGGCUCUCGCAUCGAUGAAGAACGCAGCGAAAUGCGAUAAGUAAUGUGAAUUGCAGAAUUCAGUGAAUCAUCGAAUCUUUGAACGCACCUUGCGCUCCUUGGUAUUCCGAGGAGCAUGCCUGUUUGAGUGUCAUUAAUAUAUAUCAACCUUUCUCUUGUUGUGGAAAGGCUUGGAUGUGGGGGCUUGCUGGCCUCUUAAUAGGGUUCAGCUCUCCUGAAAUGCAUUAGCAGAACAACCUUGUUCAUUGGCGUGAUAACUAUCUACGCUAUUGAAUGUGAGGGCAGUUCAGCUUUCUAACAGUCUUUGGACAAUUUAUCAUUAAUGUGACCUCAAAUCAGGUAGGACUACCCGCUGAACUUAAGCAUAUCAAUAAGCGGAGGAAAAGAAACUAACAAGGAUUCCCCUAGUGACUGCGAGUGAAGCGGGAAAAGCUCAAAUUUAAAAUCUGGCGGUCUUUGGCCGUCCGAGUCGUAAUCUAGAGAA
rnacentral:misc_RNA from 1 species